GCCCGGGUAGCUCAGUUGGUAGAGCAACUCCAUGGUAAGGAGUAGGUCGGCGGUUCAAGUCCGCCCUCGGGCUCCA
rnacentral:tRNA from 2 species